GUUUUUUGCUCACACGAUAUACGUGGCAAUCUUGUUUUCAGAAUUUGUUUCGCUGUGUACUCCAGCUACAUAUGCAAAAAUCUGCGAUUUAUGACAACGACAGCUUAUCCAGUUGCGAUGAACAACGUAGUAUCAACGUAAUAUACCUUGACUAUAAAAAUUGAACCCAAUCUAAUCAACUAAGCAGUAUGAGGUGAGAAAGGAACUUGACAGUAUGCAAUAAUCUAAUUAAUGAACAAGCUUCGAUGAACAUAAUCCAUUAAAAGGGCGUUGCAGCGACAGGGAUUAAUAAACGUUCGUCACCAGAUCGUCGAUCCUCGCAAACGUCAGGACCAUUCAGGCGAUUCAGGGACGAGAGAAUAGAAUCAUUUGGCUGUGGGCGUGGAGAUAAAACAAGAUCUGUCUCGGAAUCACCGUGUCCUUAGGAGCGCAGCCAGACGAAGUAGCCGGAUUUAGGUAGAGCUUGUGGCCACACACUGGAUGCGGUUCCCGGUAAGUGCAGUUUUCCGCAAGUGGAUGCAGCUGUUGUACCGGAGCAUCCGG